rnacentral:rRNA from 1 species
UACAGAGGGGGCGAGCGUUGUUCGGAAUUACUGGGCGUAAAGGGCUCGUAGGCGGCCAACUAAGUCGGACGUGAAAUCCCCAGGCUCAACCUGGGAACUGCGUCCGAUACUGGAUGGCUUGAAUCCGGGAGAGGGAUGCAGAAUUCCAGGUGUAGCGGUGAAAUGCGUAGAUAUCUGGAGGAAUACCGGUGGCGAAGGCGGCAUCCUGGACCGGCAUUGACGCUGAGGCACGAAAGCGUGGGGAGCAAACAGG